GCAACACAACAAGGCAGAAAAUAAAAGUGCUCUAAAAAUAUGAGUUGGACUUUUCUAGGAUACUUGUGGUCAUAUGAGGGAUGACCAAAGUGGUUUCAUUGGGAUUUGAUGAAUGGAUAUCUCUGAACAUUUUGAUAUGGUGGAAUCAAGGGGUUUAUGGAUUUGCAAGAAGUGUACAGAAAUAUAUUUUUGAAAAAUGAGCAAAGGCACCCAUUUAACAAAGGAUGAUUUUAGAAGCAUCUAGGAAUUGGUUUCACUGGAUUUGGAGUUGAGAUGAUUUUCCUAUGAAUUUGCAAAGUUGUCAAAUAUGAAGAAAUGGCUCAUUAUUUUGUGGGGUACAGAAAGUAUUAAUAAAAAUGUUCAUAAACUAAGUUAUGAACUUAGAUGCAUCUAGGAAUUUGAAUCAUGGCAUUUGGAUCAAUCUUGAGGUCUCUGUGAAUUUUUAAAGUUCAUCACAGAAUUGGAAAAUGGGGGUUUGAUAAAUAUUUGUGAAGGAAAUGAUCCUGUAAAAAUAUUACAAUAGCACCAUGUGGUAGGGCAUGAUUUUAGAAACUACUAGAAAUUUGAAUCAUUGGGUUUGGAGUUAAUUUGAAUAUUUGGGGGAUUUUACAAGUUUCUCGAAAAAGAAAAAAGACAAAGGAAGGGGGGGCGUUAUACCUAUAUUGUGCACUGGGUGCAGCAUAGUGCCGCAGCGCACUGGGCCGGCCCAGCGGCUCGGCCACGCGGCGACAGGGUGACGUCGAGGGCGCACUGCGGGAAGGCGCCACCCAGCGGGGCAAGCGGCUCCCCUGGUCCCGCCUCCACUUAACCUGACCUGCGGGGCCGGCUCGGUUGCUGCUGUCGCCGACAGGCGGGCCCCCACGCCAGCUGGCGGGGCGGUCAUCCUCUACCUCCCGCUCGAGACAGAGCAGGGGAGGCAGAGCGCACGCCGGUGCUCGUCCGGCGAUAGCCGGCGCCUCCGGCCGUCCCCGGCGGCGUCCAGCAUAUCGACGGGCUCGGGGGAUCGAGCCACACACAUCCAUGGGCUUCACGCGGUCCGAGAGGAACGGGGGCGACAGUGACCAUGGCCCCGGCGGGCGGCUUCGGUACGAGACGAGCGCGACGCCAUGGGCACCGUAGCAGAGGAAAUAAGGAGCGGGAGGGAUCGUAUGGCCUGCGGCGCUUCCCCUGGUGGUCGAAGGAGAGGACGGGAGGCUCUGGUUCGCCGGAGCCGGGAGGAGGCCGACGGCGACCAUGGUGGCCAUGGAGAGGAAAAGAGGGAGUGAGGGGGAGAGGGGACUUGUCAGGGAGAUGCACGGGAGAGAGAGAGAGCCAAAGGACUCCAUAGAGAGGCCUCGGGCGGCCUUAUAUGGCGAGGCGAUGGUGCACCGCGGGUUCGUGCGCCGGCGAGCUCAUGCUUGUCGCUACGGUCCACGGGAGCUCGUUGCGGUGUGUCUGGGGUGUUUUCCUGGAUUCGGUUCAGAGCUAGGGGAGAGGGGAGAGAGAGCAGGGGAGGGACAGAGCAUCGCGCAUGUGAGCUUGGCCAUUGGGGCUCUCAGGCGGCCUCUGUUUGCUAGCGCGGAGGCGCGGGGAGGAGGAGAGAGGAGGGGGCCGACCGCGUAGCGUGUUGAGGACGCCGAGGCACCUCGACUGGCGCGAGGGGAAGGCUCGAGGUGGUCGGGAGCGCCGUGUCAACGGUCGGGAGCACGCUGAUGUGCUCCAGAGCGCGCAAAUGGCCGGCACCCGCGGCUUUUCACGCGCCCACUUGCGUCUGGGGGCUCUGGGAGGGAGUAAACAAAGUGGAAAUGGCAUUGGAUGCCUUGGGGAACUAGUAAAGGAGAGGUGGGGUCGAGAGAGAGAGGGAAAACUGCUGUCCUGGGAAGAAAAAUGGAGUUCUCCCCCCUCCAUCAUUGCUUCCUUGGGCAUGAAAGCGUCCAGGUACUAGAGGGGGACUAGGAGAGGUUGUGGUAAAAAGUAGAGGCCAUGGAGAAGAGUGGGAGAGAUCAAAAAUGGCGUUUUGGUAAAGUGUCAGAAGGUGUUUGAUAAUGGUUUGGGCAAGAAAAUUAAUUCCACUUGCCAUGAGAACUAACAGUGGAAUGGCACAUAGAAUUAGGGUGUUCCACCAAGUUUGAGCUCAUUUGGGCAAAGUAGCCAAUGUAACUUUGGUGAACCCUAGAAAUCAGCAGAAAUGGCUUUGCCAAGAUUUAGUCAUGCAAAUCUAUUCUCCUUGAUGCACCACUUGGUUUAGUGUCAUCCUUUGAGGAUUUCAACAUGUCACAAAAAUUCAGACCAAAAGGACACACUUGGCAAUGUAGAGUUGUCCAAAUUUGGUUCUGAACAGGAAGGGUUUUGGGGCACUUUGAUCAAGUUAACUUGUUCUCCAACUUGUGCCAUUUGGUCUAGAUGAACUAUUAGACCAUUUGAGCAUGUUCACAAGGUUUGAGAACAUUUGGACAUGUUUGGCAAUGUAAAGUUGCUCAAACUUCCAAAUGGACAGAAAUGGUUUUGAGGGGAUUUCAUGGGGUUAUGCUAUUCUCCAUUACAUGAUACUUGUCAAGAUCAUCAAACAUGUCAUAUGUGACAUGAUAGAAUUUUCUUGGAAUUUUUGGAGAAUAUUUCCUUUGUAAAUAUUUCAAAAGCUUGAAAUAUCCAGAAAGGGUUUUUGAGGUAUUUGACCAAUAUUUU
rnacentral:lncRNA from 1 species